rnacentral:lncRNA from 1 species
AAUCAGCAGAUGUAGUUACUGCUGGCUGGGCUCCUGCCCUCCUGGAAUACCAACCAGCGUUUGGGUGACUGCAGCUGAGGGUGGAGGAGUCUGGGCCUGCUUGGGCUACAUAGCAAAUUCAAGGUCAGCCUGUUCUUAAGAAUAAAUCCUGGAAAGAGAUGUACAGGAAGGAAAACACGGCAUUAUUGCCUGUGAUCCUGCUAUCUAGAUGCAGUCACCAGUGAGCUCAGAUGGCUUCCUUCCCGGAUAUCUAUUUGACAAGUGGGCAUCACCUAAAAUAUAUGUAGAUAAGUAUUCUGAUUCUUCUCACUCAACAAUAAGACAAAAUGUGUGUGUGGAGUCGUUUAACAUUUCUAUAUGUCCAUAUGGAUUUGAACCAUUUAAUUUUGAUCCCUGACUGUGACAGCUCCCUUCUCCAACUCCCUAUAUAACACCCUCAGUGUCCAGUGGCCUCCGCUGCCUGCUUUUCUGACCCACCACCUCCAGCCUCGACACUAACUCUUUUCAUCCGCAGGGAUAUAUACCUGCACACCCCAAGGCAUUUGGAAGAACGAAGAGGAAGGAGAGAAAAUGCCCCGGUGUCUGCCAGUAUGUGGGAAGCCUGUCAACCCCGUGACACAGAAGCAGCGCAUCAUCGGAGGGCAGAAAGCCAAUCCGGGCAACUUCCCCUGGCAGGCAUUCACCAAUAUCCACGGGCGAGGGGGCGGGGCCCUGCUUGGAGACCGCUG